GGUCCAGACUCCUACGGGAGGCAGCAGUAGGGAAUCUUCCGCAAUGGGCGAAAGCCUGACGGAGCAACGCCGCGUGAGUGAUGAAGGUCUUCGGAUCGUAAAACUCUGUUAUUAGGGAAGAACAUACGUGUAAGUAACUAUGCACGUCUUGACGGUACCUAAUCAGAAAGCCACGGCUAACUACGUGCCAGCAGCCGCGGUAAUACGGAGGUGGCAAGCGUUAUCCGGAAUUAUUGGGCGUAAAGCGCGCGUAGGCGGUUUUUUAAGUCUGAUGUGAAAGCCCACGGCUCAACCGUGGAGGGUCAUUGGAAACUG
rnacentral:rRNA from 1 species